GGACCGCUUCUGGACGCGGGUCCAUUACCUGUGAAGGCCAUCAGGGACCAAGCCCGGAAACAGUUGGUCGAUGCGCUGGAUUCGAGACGGGGGAAGAAGGUGCUU
rnacentral:sRNA from 1 species